CUUGACUCUAGUCUUUUGUUGUUACUUACUGAUGGAUAUCUUGUUUCCAUGUGUCUACGUGGGAGAAUGAGUGAAAUGAAAUGCAGUACUUCAGUCCAGGAAAAAAAGAAGGCAUUUAGCUGCAGAUCUGAGAACAUCAAAGAUAUUAUCAUUUUUGUUUGAGCCAGUUCACCAAAACCCCCUUGGUUACGAGUUUGAUGAGGAGGAGUAAUAGUGAUGAGACAAGCGAGCAAAAAAGGGAAACAAGUUGGCAGCAAAAAGAAGGACAUUCACCAGGAAUAGAGCAGAUGCGUCUUCAUGUUUCACAUCAUGCAUGUUUUACACUGGAAGCCUGUUUUCCU
rnacentral:lncRNA from 1 species